AUUGAACGCUGGCGGCAGGCCUAACACAUGCAAGUCGAACGAGUGGCGGACGGGUGAGUAAUGUCUGGGAAACUGCCCGAUGGAGGGGGAUAACUACUGGAAACGGUAGCUAAUACCGCAUACCAUGGGAUGGGCCAAGAUGGGAUUAGCUAGUAGGUGGGGUAACGGCUCACCUAGGCGACGAUCCCUAGCUUGUCUGAGAGGAUGACCAGCCACACUGGAACUUAGACACGGUCCCGACCCCUACGCGAGGCAGCAGUGGGGAAUAUUGCACAAUGGGCGCAAGCCUGAUGCAGCCAUGCCGCUUGUAUGAAGAAGUCCUUCGGGUUGUAAAGUACUUUCAGCGAGGAGGCGUUACUCGCAGAAGAAGCACCGGCUAACUCCGUGCCAGCAGCCGCGGUAAUAC
rnacentral:rRNA from 1 species